GGCGAGGCGGGGGGCAAGCCCAGCCCCGAGUUCAAAGCGGGCAGGUGCCGGGAGGGACAGGGCGCCCGGACGGCUCCGCUGGCGCCCCGGGCGCGGAGGAGGGCUCCUGGGACGCCCGUCGCGGGAGUUUGGCUGGGGGUGCGGAGGGGAUGGAGACUGCAGUUUUCCGCUGGCUCCCUCCUCUUGCUGGGGGACAAGGGACGACCUCUGCUCCUUCCUUCUGGCUCUCCCUCACCAACCCCAGCCUCCCUACUUGUGACCGCGCGCGGCCUUUCUCCAGACGGCCUCAGCCCAAACACUUGUGUCUCUCGGAGACUCCCUGCUGCCUCCUCACUGCUGCGGUCCCGGCUCUUUCCACCCACGAGCCCUCCUUCGCCCACUCCAAAACCUCCCCGGUGCUUCCUAUCCCUUCUCUCUGCGUCGCUAGCGGCGUCCCAGGGCCGGACCCUCUUCCCCUACUGCUCGGCUGAGCUGUGGCUCUGCCGCGACCUGUCGAACAAGCGGGUCUCUCCCUCUAACCCCUGCCCCGUUCGCAGACACCUUCAGAGCUGGGCCCUGCGUCUUCCCGACCCCAGCCCUUCCUGGGUCCUCCGUCGACUCCGUUCUCCGCCGCUGCGUCCCGCUCCCCAGGCUCCCCGCCACCCUGAUAGCUCUUCUCCCCAGCCCGCCGCUCUUGGUUUCUGCUCAGGACUCCACGCUGUGCCUGGGAAGCAGAGCUCAGGGUUUGUUUGUUUUCCUACGGGGGAAACUUUAAAAUCGCCGUGGUUUGGCUCACAAAGAAGCCCUAACAGGAAGGCUCAGCCGCCGAGAGAACCUGGAUCUGGAGUCCGAGAUGGGGGGAGAUUGUGUCGCGCGUCGGAAAGGCGUCUUGGGAUGAGCGUACAAAGUAAAUUUCAAAACGGAGGUGGUUGCUGUAGCCUGGACUCUCCUUCCCUGGCUGGUUGCGUCCCGCGGAGUAUUAUUGUGACCCCUGCUGGGAGGGCGCGUCUUUUCUCCGCACUUUUUAAAGCGCCUUUUUAUCCCCCCUUGAUGGUGGUGCUGGUGACCCGGGCGGGGGGUGGGGGAAGAGUGGGUGGGCACGAGGGAAAGCUGCCUGCAGAGGCUGAUGCCACUUGGGUCCUGCCUUGGUCGCUCCCGAACCCGCCAGAUUGUGUAUGUUUCACUCUAAACUACCCGCCUCCCCCCAACUGCAUCGCACAAGUCCUCAUUGUUGGGGGUCGCCCUGGGCACUUCCGCCUGGGCAGGGAGAGUCUGAAGGAAUGGGGUGGGGGUUGGGAGGCCAGGGGCGCUCGGCGACCGUGCUCCGGCUGUCGCCGGAGGCUCGGCGGUGUUCGGAGCGGAGAGCGCCCCGGCGCGGGCAUCUGUGCGCUCCCGCGAGUGUCUGCGAGCUUGGCUGCGUGCUGGCGUGGGUCGGUGCCUGCCUGUGCAUUUGGAGGCCUGCGCACGCCUGGGCUUAGAUCCUUCGAAAAAUCGGCAAGUGGAAAGCUUGCGGAAUCGAGUGCGUCUUUUGCUGCCCGGGAGCUGGGCGGGCGGUCCGGCUAG
rnacentral:lncRNA from 1 species